rnacentral:rRNA from 1 species
UGGGGAAUUUUUCGCAAUGGGGGAAACCCUGACGAAGCAACGCCGCGUGGGGGAUGAAGGUCUUCGGAUCGUAAACCCCUGUCGAUCGGGACGAAAGCACCCAACCUAACACGUCGGAGUGUUGACUGUACCGGUGGAGGAAGCCACGGCUAACUCUGUGCCAGCAGCCGCGGUAAUACAGAGGUGGCAAGCGUUGUUCGGAAUUACUGGGCGUAAAGCGCACGUAGGUGGAUAGUUAAGUUCGGGGUGAAAUCCCAGGGCUCAACCCUGGAACUGCCUCGGAUACUGGCUAUCUCGAGUCCGGAAGAGGUGAGUGGAAUUCCUAGUGUAGAGGUGAAAUUCGUAGAUAUUAGGAAGAACACCGGUGGCGAAGGCGGCUCACUGGUCCGAUACUGACACUGAGGUGCGAAAGCGUGGGGAGCAAACAGGAUUAGAUACCCCAGUAGUCCCUGAGCGGGCUGGCAAGGCGCAU